rnacentral:rRNA from 1 species
GAUGAACGCUGGCGGCGUGCCUAAUACAUGCAAGUCGAGCGAACAGACGAGGAGCUUGCUCCUCUGACGUUAGCGGCGGACGGGUGAGUAACACGUGGAUAACCUACCUAUAAGACUGGGAUAACUUCGGGAAACCGGAGCUAAUACCGGAUAAUAUAUUGAACCGCAUGGUUCAAUAGUGAAAGACGGUUUUGCUGUCACUUAUAGAUGGAUCCGCGCCGCAUUAGCUAGUUGGUAAGGUAACGGCUUACCAAGGCGACGAUGCGUAGCCCACCUGAGAGGGUGAUCGGCCACACUGGAACUGAGACACGGUCCAGACUCCUACGGGAGGCAGCAGUAGGGAAUCUUCCGCAAUGGGCGAAAGCCUGACGGAGCAACGCCGCGUGAGUGAUGAAGGUCUUCGGAUCGUAAAACUCUGUUAUUAGGGAAGAACAAAUGUGUAAGUAACUAUGCACGUCUUGACGGUACCUAAUCAGAAAGCCACGGCUAACUACGUG